rnacentral:lncRNA from 10 species
GGGCUCCACCCAGUUAGAGCUUCCAGGCUGCUUUGUUUACCUAAUCAAGCCUGGGCAAUGGCGGGCGCCCCUCCCCCAGCCUCGCUGCUGCCUUGCAGUUUGAUCUCAGACUGCUGUGCUAGCAAUCAGCGAGAUUCCGUGGGCGUAGGACCCUCCGAGCCAGGUGCAGGAUAAAAUCUCGUGGUGCGCCGUUUUUUAAGCCGGUUGGAAAAGCGCAGUAUUUGGGUGGGAGUGCCCGAUUUUCCAGACAACUUUGCACCAUGCGGACAGGUCAAAUGAGACCAGAAGUAUUAUGAACCAAUGCUAAUCAGGACUGUUUCCUGCACUCUGAGACCAAAGGGGCCAUUCUCACAAAGAAAGAGCUCCUGCCAUGUUACAUGCCUGCUCUCCAUCUGCCUUCCAACAUGAUUGGAAGCUUUCCGAUGCCCUCACCAGAAGCAAAUGCUGGUGCCGUGCUUUCUGUACUGCCUGCAGAACUCAGGCUUUCGGCAUUUGGCAUCCACAGGAAACUCCAGCUUGACUUAAGGAGUGAGAAGUAGAUCCUGAGCCAAGUGCAAAGAGUUUCUUUGGAACAAGAAAACAUGACAAGGAAGUGGAGAAAUGAGAGCGGCAAGGUGGACAAAGGGGAUUUUGGAGACCAAAAAAGUCCUCAGGCAAACAGAUGCAGGUGCUAGCAGUUGGAAGUCAGGCCCAAGAGCUCUGAUGCGUGUGAUAAUAUGGGAAUUAAUAAGCCUGCUAUAUUUGAAAACCUCCCUGAUAUGCCAGGGUCAAUCUGGAUCCUCCGUCAAGCAGACACCAAGAUAGGAGUUGACACUGAAGAAAGAGCAUGUAAAGGAUAAAGGUAGGUGGGGGGGCAGGAAGAGUUUUCAGACUGUGAUGCAGGGUUGACAUCUCGGAAGGAGAGGGAAGGAACAGUGGGUAGGAAGAAUGGUGCACUACUGAGAAAGUCUUUGUCAAGCUAAUGAGGAAUCCUGGCACAGAGAUUACCUAUUAGGCGAGCCCCACACAGGAUAGAAAGGGCUGAACUUUACUAUUGGCAUCACGUUUGGUCAUCGGCUGACAUGGACAGUGUGGCAGAUUUGAAGAUUUGGCAGCUGAAGACUGUCAUCAGCAACACUUUUCCCACCAGGUUCUCUUGACAUGAGAUCCAAACAGUGCACCUCUAUUGCUACUAAAUGUCAGUUCUUGAAUAUUCCAGAGUUCCUUUUCUUUGAGGGCAAGGGUUGGAUUGUAUUUUACCACCUCUUUAAAAUUAGGAUGGCCAUAUGACUUAUUUUGGUCAUUAAGUUGUAAGUGGAAGUUUGAAAAAACAGUAUAUGCUUUGCCGGAUUAUCUUUUUCUCUUCAAAGAAAAUACCUUUUGAGCAGAACUUCCAUCAAUCUGGGCCCCAAUAAUGAGCAGGCUCUUACCAACUCAGGUGGGACAUGUAGACUGAGCAAGAAAUAGCAUUAUUGUAAUAAGCCAUUGAGAUAUUAUGUUUUUUAUUGAGGCAUAACCUAGAUUACUCUGACUGAAACCAUAGCUUUGGAGAUUGUGCUGGAGUAUUUUAGUUUCUACAUACACUGAGAAAUAGGCAGUGACCAUUGGGGAACAGGAGGCAGUGAACACUGGGGAAGAGGAGGCAGUGAACAUACCACUGGAAUCCAGCUUGGUUGGAUAUAAGAGCACAACAAUUUGAAAGCGUUAGUCAAAGAAAUGAACUGCUUGAUUUUCCUUCUGAGCUUCUAAAGUCAUUUAUAUUUAGAAGGAAAAGCUCACCAGUCAUAGGUUGUAACAAAUUAUUAAUACAUAAAUGUGUUCUGAGCUAACAGGACCAUAAACUGUCAUAGUUGGUCAACAAUAUUUAUUGUGGAUAAACAACUUGUAUUAGAUAUGUUAGAACAUAAAAAAGAGAACAAUGAUUAUUAUCAUCCCUUUUAUUGUAUGCCACAUAUUAUGAGAUUCAAAGGCUUUCAUAAAUAUUUUCUUCUACUCAGUGGAGUAAGUAGGGAAAGUAUUAUUAUCCCAGUUUUACAGUUAAGGAAAUGGAAACCCACAAACUUUAAAUGACAAAGGGGAUAAGUGGUUGAAACAAAACUAGAACUCAAUACAUCUGAGUAGAUGCCUGUAAAUUAAAAUAUUGCCUUCUUGCGAAGGCUAAAAUUCUUGUUGCCAGAAAAAGUUUAAGAAUAUUUUCAGUGCCUACAGUCAAAUACAUAUGCAUCAAUAAGGCAUUUGCAGCUAUUUUGUGUCAUGGUAUUGGAUGAAUGCUAUAAUUAGAAAACAGACGUGAAGCCGACCUAAAACCAUCAAACUAAUAUAGAGAGCCCUGAAGCUUUUUCCAGUUCCAGUCAGUCUGAAAAGACAACAUCAAAUGCUAAUGAGAGUCAGUCUUAAAUAAAAUAAGAAUAAAAAUUGCUUUAUCUGUGGCUUAUAACUCUUAAGUGAAUUUAAUGUGUAUUUUCUCUCUUGUGUGUUACAUUUUCCCUAUAAGGAAUUAUAGAGUUGAACCCAGAUCUUGUACCCAUAAAUCUCAAAUGCUUAUGGAGACAUAAAGAAUAGGUAAAAAUGGAUUUUUAAUCACAUUAAGGAAUGCUGUUAUGAGGCAACUUCCUUUGAAACUCAAAAUACUAACAAAUUGAUAGGAAGAUUUUAAAACAUGGCUCCAUUUUAUUUGAUACUUGUUCCAUCUAAAGGUUGGACUUUUCCCCCUUUCUGAUUAACCUGGAUUCUGUGCUUGCUUUCAAUCUGGCCGUUUCUAGAUCAGGCCUUAAGAAACUGGCAGUUCCUACUUCCUGUCUCUUCAGACACUCUGGAAACCACCAUGCUGUGAGGAAGCCCAAGUAGUUCCUGGAGAGAUCUACACCAAUAACUGAAGCCCCAAGGCCCUAGCACUGGCUGAGCUCCCAGCUGAAAGCCAGCACCAAAUUUCCAUAACUUUGAGUGAACCAUCUUGGAAGUGUAUAUUCCAGUUCCAGGUUAAGUGUACUCAGAAAUAACCUGCCCCAUUGAUCCCUGUAAAAAUUGGAGAUCUGAAAGCAAAAUACAAUAUUGUUGACAUUUUAAGUCAGUAGGGUUUGGGGCAGUUUAUUGUAUCAGUGAACUUUGCCUAGGUUGGUUUUACCUAGAGGCCUUCUAUAGUACAUAAUAGAGUACCUUGGUCUGGUUAUAGGGAUUUUGUGCCUUCCUUUACAUUUUAAAGUGAAAGAAAAAUAUCUUUUCUGUGAACAUGAAUUUUUUAUUAUUAUUGUUAUACUUUUAAGUUCUAGGGUACAUGUGCACAAUGUGCAGGUUUGUUACAUUGGUAUACAUGUGCCAUGUUUGUUUGCUGCAUCCAUCAACUCGUCAUUUACAUUAGGUAUUUCUCCUAAUGCUAUCCCUCCCCCAGCUCCCCAGCCCCCAACAGGCCCGGGUGUGUGAUGUUCCCCUCCCUGUGUCCAUGUGUUGUCAUGAACAUCAAUAUUUUUAAUGAGGGCAUUAAGUUUACUCUAUUGUGUGGUUAUCCUGUAUUCUUGUAGCAUUGUCUCGUUUAGUCCGUAGAGAAAGAUCACAUCCCUGUAGUGUGUGAUCUACUAUAAAAUGAGUUGGGGUUUUUUGUGUCAAUAAAAUGAGUUGCAACAAAAUGAGUUGGGUUUUUUUGUGUCAAUAAGUGGGGACAGUGGGAAAAUUUCCUUAAGGAAAGCACAUGAGAUUUGGUGAUUUGGGGCAGA